rnacentral:lncRNA from 1 species
UAAGGACUAUCAGAUAUGAUUGUAUGGAAUGGUGGCACAGGGAUGUGGGAUCUUGCCGAGAUUCUUGCGCUGGACGCAUAUGUUCUCACCCUGGGGAUGGGGUGGGUGAGCCAAGAGACUGCACACUAUUUGGAUAUCAAGGUAAUCAAGGGUUUCUGGAACCCUUUUAGCUUGUUUGUAAAUUCUGUCCUUAAACAUGUAAUAUGGUCUUUAGCAGAUCAGAUGGGCAAUCUCUCUUAGUAAAGGUGCCCUUUCUUUGGCAUUUGGGAGGUUCUCUAACAAAAACCUAUAGAAUGCUUUGCAGGUUGGCUCCAGACAUAGUGACUGGUACAGAUUGUUGAAACUGUACAUUACCAUUAUGUCUCCUUGGUGCUACUCACUGCUACAUAUCUUUGCCAAGACAUUUGUUGCUACUGUUGUUGAAUUAUCAGUUUGUUCCAGGAUUGAUAUAAAAUUUUUCACAACUGUGAGAAGUGCUGUUACUUAUAUGUCA